GACGAGUGGCGGACGGGUGAGUAAUGCUUGGGAACUUGCCUUUGCGAGGGGGAUAACAGUUGGAAACGACUGCUAAUACCGCAUAAUGUCUUCGGACCAAACGGGGCUUCGGCUCCGGCGCAAAGAGAGGCCCAAGUGAGAUUAGCUAGUUGGUAAGGUAACGGCUUACCAAGGCGACGAUCUCUAGCUGUUCUGAGAGGAAGAUCAGCCACACUGGGACUGAGACACGGCCCAGACUCCUACGGGAGGCAGCAGUGGGGAAUAUUGCACAAUGGGGGAAACCCUGAUGCAGCCAUGCCGCGUGUGUGAAGAAGGCCUUCGGGUUGUAAAGCACUUUCAGUUGUGAGGAAAAGUUAGUAGUUAAUACCUGCUAGCCGUGACGUUAACAACAGAAGAAGCACCGGCUAACUCCGUGCCAGCAGCCGCGGUAAUACGGAGGGUGCGAGCGUUAAUCGGAAUUACUGGGCGUAAAGCGCACGCAGGCGGUUUGUUAAGCUAGAUGUGAAAGCCCCGGGCUCAACCUGGGAUGGUCAUUUAGAACUGGCAGACUAGAGUCUUGGAGAGGGGAGUGGAAUUCCAGGUGUAGCGGUGAAAUGCGUAGAUAUCUGGAGGAACAUCAGUGGCGAAGGCGACUCCNUGGCCAAAGACUGACGCUCAUGUGCGAAAGUGUGGGUAGCGAACAGGAUUAGAUACCCUGGUAGUCCACACCGUAAACGCUGUCUACUAGCUGUGUGUGNCUUUAAGGCGUGCGUAGCGAAGCUAACGCGCUAAGUAGACCGCCUGGGGGAGUACGGCCGCAAGGUUAAAACUCAAAUGAAUUGACGGGGG
rnacentral:rRNA from 1 species